CCUACGGGAGGCUGCAGUCGAGAAUCUUCCACAAUGGACGAAAGUCUGAUGGAGCGACGCCGCGUGAUCGAUGAAGUGCUUCGGUAUGUAAAGAUCUUUUAUGAGGGAAGCGGUACCUCAUGAAUAAGGGCCUGCAAAACUCGUGCCAGCAGCAGCGGUAAUACGAGUGGCCCAAGCGUUAUCCGGAAUUAUUGGGCGUAAAGGAUGUGUAGGUGGUUAUAUUAGUCUGGUGUCUAACCUCUGAGCUCAACUUGGAGACAGCAUUGGAAACGGUAUGACUAGAGUAUGUUAGGGGUAAGCGGAACUCAUAGUGUAGGGGUGAAAUCCGUUGAUAUUAUGGGGAACACCAAAAGCGAAGGCAGCUUACUGGAACAUACUGACACUGAAACAUGAAAGCGUGGGUAGCGAAUGGGAUUAGAUACCCUUGUAGUC
rnacentral:rRNA from 1 species